UACGAAGGGGGCUAGCGUUGCUCGGAAUGACUGGGCGUAAAGGGCGCGUAGGCGGACGGCUUUGUCGGGCGUGAAAUUCCAGGGCUUAACCUUGGGGCUGCGUUCGAGACGGGUUGUCUAGAGUUUGGAAGAGGGUCGUGGAAUUCCCAGUGUAGAGGUGAAAUUCGUAGAUAUCGGGAAGAACACCGGUGGCGAAGGCGGCGACCUGGUCCUUGACUGACGCUGAGGCGCGAAAGCGUGGGGAGCAAACAGG
rnacentral:rRNA from 1 species